AAUUUUCUAUUCUAUAAACUACAUCUUUAUAUUUUCAUUACAAAUCUACAACUCUCAGUUUAUGGCUACACGUGCUGAUCUUAUCUAUAGUCAUGCAUAUUCAUUAGCUAUGUAGGCGUGUCAAAAUCGUAUCAUACGCGAUAAUGACCAGCCAGUACACACUGUAAUGAUUUCAUUAACCAGUAUUAAAAAGAUAAACAUAACA
rnacentral:lncRNA from 1 species